GGGGAUUACAUGAUAACCAAUUUGGGACAGUUCUGGGAUUGGAGAAGAGGGUAUCCUUAUAGCAUAGGGGAUCCCACAAAGGUGGAUAGGUUUUCCAUGAUAUGGGGAAACCUGGGAGCACUGUUGAACUCUGUAAAGGUGAUGAAAUCCUACUAACCAUCAAAACCAUUCAGCUCUCUGAUGCAGGUACUUACACCCUUGGACAGGAAAGGGCUGGGGACGACAUGGGCCUGUUUUCUGUUAAGGUGCUGACAAAACCACAGAGGUCCCAGACAAACCAGAGCCAGACACACCCCUCUACCACCCCUGGACCGGACCUGCCACCUACCACCACUGUCUCAAAUCCCAUUCAGGCUUUUUCUUUGGACCUUAUAUGGCGAUUGGCAACUCUUUCAUAAUAAGGUGUUGUGACGAGAUGAAAAGAAUCUGCCCACUCCAUCAAGCAAUGGGGACAACAACACAGGGCAUCCAUCGGACGUCCUGGAACCACGGACCACACCUGCAGAAACUGGACAGCAGGGGGAAGCAGAGGAGAUACCCAGCAUAGACUUCUCCCAGCUGACGCUUGACAUACCACCUACGCCACCUCCAGUGGUAGAAACAACCAGAUGGGAUGAUUGAGUCGAAUCAGCCAACAGUAACACGGAAGCAGCAAUGUGAGAGUCAGUAGUACAUGACCUUAAAUGGUAAUAAUAGGAAGCUUCCGUUUAACACACAGGCCUAAGAUUACGUAGGUCUACAGCCCCAGUGGGAACUUCCCCUGUAAAAAGGUAUAUAAAGAUCAUAAGACAGUAUGAUCCUCGUUAACAUAUGAGACAGACUUCACAUGGAGAAUCAUCAUAGGUCAAUUUACUAUACGCUUUUUGUUACACUAGAACAAUAUUUUGAGAACUGGAUCAUUUUGGUUAAGUACUUAUUGGGUCACUAUCUGAAGAAACUGGUUGAAUUUUGUGAACCCGACUGAGUCUCUGAAAAACAGGGGUCUAACCACCUCUUGAUCACACAGGCAAAGCGGGCGUUUGCAUUUUAGACACCAGGAACCAGAGGUGAUUAGCAAUUCAAGGAAAAACAGCCAAGUACCAGUUACAAUAUAUUGAGACACAGAGUUGGAAGAUAUAAUAAUAAUAAUAAUAAUAAUAAUAAUAAUAAUA
ensembl:lncRNA